CCUACGGGUGGCAGCAGUGAGGAAUAUUGGUCAAUGGGCGUAAGCCUGAACCAGCCAAGUCGCGUGAGGGAUGAAGGUUCUAUGGAUCGUAAACCUCUUUUAUAAGGGAAUAAAGUGUGGGACGUGUCCUAUUUUGUAUGUACCUUAUGAAUAAGGAUCGGCUAACUCCGUGCCAGCAGCCGCGGUAAUACGGAGGAUGCGAGCGUUAUCCGGAUUUAUUGGGUUUAAAGGGUGCGCAGGCGGGAGAUCAAGUCAGCGGUAAAAUGUCGGGGCUCAACCCCGGCCGGCCGUUGAAACUGGUUUUCUAGAGUUGGAGAGAAGUAUGCGGAAUUCGUGGUGUAGCGGUGAAAUGCAUAGAUAUCACGAAGAACUCCGAUUGCGAAGGCAGCAUACCGGCUCCAUACUGACGCUGAGGCACGAAAGCGUGGGGAUCGAACAGGAUUAGAUACCCGGGUAGUC
rnacentral:rRNA from 1 species